AUCAGGUAGGAAUACCCGCUGAACUUAAGCAUAUCAAUAAGCGGAGGAAAAGAAACUAACAAGGAUUCCCCUAGUAACUGCGAGUGAAGAGGGAAAAGCUCAAAUUUAAAAUCUGGUAGCUUUGCUGCCCGAGUUGUAAUUUAGAGAAGUGAUGCCCGCGCUGGACCGUGUAUAAGUCUCCUGGAAUGGUGCGUCAUAGAGGGUGAGAAUCCCGUCUUUGACACGGACUCCCAGUGCAUUGUGGUACGCUCUCAAAGAGUCGUGUUGUUUGGGAAUGCAGCACUAAAUGGGUGGUAAAUUCCAUCUAAAGCUAAAUAUUGGUGGGAGACCGAUAGCGUACAAGUACCGUGAGGGAAAGAUGAAAAGAACUUUGGAAAGAGAGUGAAACAGUACGUGAAAUUGUUGAAAGGGAAACGCUUGAAGUCAGUCGCAUUGUCUGGGAAUCAGUCUUGCUUUUGCUUGAUGUACUUUCCAGUUAAUGGGUCAGCAUCAGUUUUGAUCGUUGGAUAAAGGCUGAAGGAAUGUGGCAUCUCCGGAUGUGUUAUAGCCUUCAGUUGCAUACAACGGUUGGGACUGAGGAAUUCAGCACGCCGCAAGGCCGGGUCUCGUACCACGUUCGUGCUUAGGAUGCUGGCAUAAUGGCUUUAAUCGACCCGUCUUGUAACACGGACCAAGGAGUCGUCUUCGUAUGCGAGU
rnacentral:rRNA from 1 species